GGGAUGUCGCCAAGCGGUAAGGCACAGGACUUUGACUCCUGUAUGCGUAGGUUCGAAUCCUGCCAUCCC
rnacentral:tRNA from 1 species